rnacentral:rRNA from 1 species
CAAACGGGUUGUUGCUGGCCCUCAUAGGGGGCAUGUGCACGCUCUGUUUACACAUCCACUCACACCUGUGCACCUUAUCUCUGUAGUUCUAUGGUCUGGGGGACCCUGUCUUCCUUCUGUGGUUCUACGUCUUUACACACACACUGUAAUAAAGUUUUAUGGAAUGUACAUCGCGUCUAACGCAAUACAAUACAACUUUCAGCAACGGAUCUCUUGGCUCUCGCAUCGAUGAAGAACGCAGCGAAAUGCGAUAAGUAAUGUGAAUUGCAGAAUUCAGUGAAUCAUCGAAUCUUUGAACGCACCUUGCGCCCCUUGGCUAUUCCGAGGGGCAUGCCUGUUUGAGUAUCAUGAACACCUCAACUCUCAUGGUUUGCCAUGAUGAGUUGGACUCUGGGGGUUUUGCUGGCCUGUGGUCGGCUCCUCUCAAAUUAAUCAGCCUCCCAGUGUUUGGUGGCAUCACGGGUGUGAUAAAUAUCUACGCUCGCUGUUGUCUGCCAGGUAACCUUUGGUCACAAAGGUUUGCUGGAGCUCACAGAUGUCUCUCCUCAGCGAGGACAGCUUUUUUAACGUUCGAUCUCAAAUCAGGUAGGACUACCCGCUGAACUUAAGCAUAUCAAUAAGCGGAGGAAAAGAAACUAACAAGGAUUCCCCUAGUAACUGCGAGUGAAGCGGGAAAAGCUCAAAUUUAAAAUCUGGCGUGCCUCUGGUCGUCCG